GAUAGCAAAGCUAGAACUUGAAAUCAGGUCCACCAAACCCAAGCUCACUGUACAUCUACUGUCCUCCCAGUUCUUACUCCCUUUGGGACCAAAGGGACCACAUUAGCAGACACAGCCUGGUGGGUUCCACUAUCGGUUUUCAGGGUCAAGCUGCUGCCUCCACACUGAGGAUAGUGGAACCAGAAGAGCUCAAAGUCACAAACAGCAACAGAAACUAUGGGUCCUGGUCUGCUGGCACCUGAUAGAAAGAGAUGAGAUCCAUUCUUAAAUGGAACACUAACAGGAUGGCAUCUAAUGAAUGACUGAGACUUUAGUCAGACUGAGUGGAAACACUGGAGCCAAUCAGGUAGGAUGGAGCCCGAUCAUCUCAAGUGUGAGUCACAAGCACCUGGCUAAUGAUGCCACACACCAGCAGUCUGAGUCAUACCCUACCUUCUCCAUCUUCUACAGAGCUAUGUCUCAGAAGAAAUACACAAAUAUCCAGGAUGUCAUACCAAGGAGAGGAGUGAUUUGGGCUGCCUCUCCCUCCUCCACAGUAACCUCCCUCACCUAAGUGAUCUUGUCAAAGUAAGCCAUUGCUCAAACUACCGUCCUCUCCUACCCAAGCCAACUGCUCCAAUUUUCUCCUAUUCUAACAGCAUUGGAAAUAGCAAGGGGUGGGGGUAGAAUGGAAAAUGACAUUCAAUAACUGAAGAUACUUUUUUAUGUCCCAUACUACCUGAUUGUCAUGAAACAACUAAGAGCUCUUCCAACUUGGCAUCAAAGUUUAAAAUGACUUUUUUUUUUUCCAGAUGGGGUCUCAUUAUGUAGCCUCUGGCUGUCCCAGAACUUGCUUUGCAGACCAGACUGGCCUCAAACUCACGAAGUUCCACCUGCCUCUGCCCUUCAAGUGCUAGGAUUAACAGUGUUUGUCACUGGCCAUACUCUGUUCUUGUUGUUGUUAUUGUUAUUGUUUAGAAGACAAGAAAGCAUUUUCUUAACACUCGAUACAUUGAUGAUUCUCAGUUCUUCCUUCAUGAAUCUGAUUGGAACAAAAUGUGGGACAUUUGGUUGCCCUCUCCCAUGUCCUCACAGACUGAAGUCAACCUUGAGCCACCCACCUUACCACCUAGGUCUCGGUUUCUUUAUCUGUAGAGACAAUGUUGUAGUCUCCAGUGCACCCCAGCAAGUUUCACAACCACGGCCUCACAUAGACUCAAGGGUUAGCAUCUCUCCAGCAAGAACGACACAGGACAUUCGGAUCCUUCUGCAGUAAAGCUUUUAAUGCGUCUUGAGAGGAGAGCAUAAGCUUACCAGAGCGGAGACCCCGAGCCAAGAAUCCCGUCCCCUAAUAAAGGCUGGCAGCCGC
rnacentral:lncRNA from 1 species